GCGGGUGUAGUUCAAUGGUAGAACAUGAGCUUCCCAAGCUUGAGGCGUGAGUUCGAUUCUCAUCACCCGCACCA
rnacentral:tRNA from 2 species